rnacentral:rRNA from 1 species
CGGAGGGUGCAAGCGUUAUCCGGAUUCACUGGGUUUAAAGGGUGCGUAGGUGGUUUUGUAAGUCAGUGGUGAAAGCCCGGAGCUCAACUCCGGAACUGCCAUUGAUACUGCUUAACUUGAAUCAACUUGAGGUGGAUGGAAUAUUACAUGUAGCGGUGAAAUGCUUAGAUAUGUAAUAGAACACCGAUUGCGAAGGCAGUUCACUAAGGUUGUAUUGACACUGAGGCACGAAAGCGUGGGGAUCAAACAGGAUUAGAUACCCUGGUAGUCCACGCCCUAAACGAUGUAAACUCGACAUCAGCGAUAUACUGUUGGUGUCCAAGCGAAAGCGUUAAGUUUACCACCUGGGAAGUACGACCGCAAGGUUG